CCCUUAGAUGUUCUGGGCCGCACGCGCGCUACACUGUUCGACGCAGCGAGUCUUAACCUUGACCGAAAGGUUUGGGUAAUCUUCAGCAAAGUCGAACGUGAUGGGGAUCGAUCAUUGCAAUUAUUGAUCGUGAACGAGGAAUUCCUAGUAAGUGCAAGUCAUCAGCUUGCGCUGAUUACGUCCCUGCCCUUUGUACACACCGCCCGUCGCUACUACCGAUUGAAUGUGUUGGUGAGGAGCUCGGAUUGGCAGCAGUUGGUGGUUCGCCACCGGCUAUUGCUGAGAAGUCCUCCAAACCGCCCCAUUUAGAGGAAGGAGAAGUCGUAACA
rnacentral:rRNA from 1 species